GUCUAUGUAGAUUAUGUUUUAAAUCG
rnacentral:tRNA from 3 species